CCCUAACAGCCUGCUGCAGAGCAAUGGAAUUUGUCUUGCUUCUCUUUUUACCUUGAUUGCCAAGGCUGAGUUUAAAACCUACCCACGAUGAUGCAAGACAAACUGUAGGACACUGGAGAAACAUCUUCUGAUCACAAGCUGCACAGAAUGUGGAGAAGCAAUGAAGGCAAAUGUUUAAUACAAACAUUUCUUAGUUUCAGAAGAGACUAAUGAUGACUAAAGGAGCAGGAACAAGACACAGGUGAAGGAGAGUUUCAGCGCUCUGGGGAACUGCUCCAUGUGGAAAAAGUGGGAAGUAGAUAUCCAUACCUCUGAGAGUAUCGGGGAGUCACAACAGGGGUCAGAACAGAGUUACACAGAGUCAUUAGAAGGGACAAGUGGCUAUAUAGCCUACAAGAAGCAACCCAAACCUCCUGACAUAUGUUGACACAAGGCAAAGACUGCCAUAAUCCCGGGAAAGGGAGCAGGAUGCUGGACGCAGAGAGAAAGAAGAGUAACCAAGGCAAAGGACAGCUGUGUCCAUCUUGUGGUGCCUGGAAGAGGAGAGGGAGCUUUACUGCUUAUGGACCUGUGGCAAGGCUACUCUGAGUGAAGCAAUGAAGGGCCAUCAUGGCAUGAUCUGGCUUUAGCAGAAAGUGAGACUGUUAUGCUGACCCAGAAGGACAUGGUUAUUAAAUAUUUAUUAAGCACCUGCGGUGUGCCCUACUCUAUGGUCGGAAGCCCUAUGGGAAUUGCAAAACUCCUGACUUAUGGAGAAUAGCUUGGAGUCUAGCUAGAAGAGAAAAUCCCUACAUAUCAGGAACAGCUAAGGACCAAUUUCUACCUAAGAGCUGUGCAGCUGGGGAAAAAACAACAACAGUGGCAGCCCAUAUAUUGAACCUCAAAAGUAAAGCUGUCUGGAUUAAGAAGAUAGAAGAGGAAGUUUAAGAGACUCACAAUGAAAGGGUUUAACAAGAACUGCCUGUGAAAGUGUUGAUUCGCAAACUCUUGGAACAUUGGAAAUUAUUUCCUUAACAACGGAAGGAAAACUGAC